rnacentral:lncRNA from 1 species
GCAGAUUAGCAUCAGGAUGUCGAUGUAAGAAUUGAGGAUUAGGGACAGUAGGAGGUGGACCUUUCUCCAAUCUAAUUUCUUCCCAUGGGGUCGGGGUCUUCUUUUUGUUGCAACUUACUCUAAUUUUAGAGAUUUUUUGCACAAUCGCAGCUUUAUUGCGAUGAUACAAGUGAGUUCCUAGAAUAGGAUGAUUCACAAUUCGAUUAACAUCUUCGUUGAGAUAGUAACAGCCGCACAAUACAGCAUCAUUCUCGACAUUGCUAUAACUGGAACUACAAUAACAAAGCAAAAAUAGUUAGAAAAAGAUGGCUGCACAAAAGAACCCUAUCCUCAUUAGCAUACCAAUGGGAAAUACAAAAAACAACGCAGAAAUGUGAAAACAUGGAAAACAAAAGGCUGCCUUUCAACUUACAUAGGCCUGGCAACUUACCCAGAACGAGGAACAACAGUAAUAUCAUUAGCAUACACAUCAGUAGAAACCAUCAUGUUCGAAAGCUGAGGUCCAGAAAAUACCACCAUCUGCCUGUCACCUUCAUGUGGAGGCACUCCAAAUUGACUAGAUGAACCAGAGGGCAUCUAAUAAAAAUUAAACAAUACAAAAAUUAGGCCAAUUGUGAGUUUGAAGUUUGAUUAUACAAAUUAAAGACAUACAUAAAGUGAUUUAAACAAACAGACAGACUAUUACAAUAGUCCCCACAACACUAGAUUUGUAUCUCACUAUCUUCCCCAACCAUUCUCUCUCCCACAUGUCAGUCUCUCUCACCCACUAUAUUCCAUAUUUACCUCCAUCAUUUACCAGUUAGAAUGUGAUAAAAUAUAACUGUUUACUGAAACGGAAAAUCCAUAUUGUACAACUUUGGUUGCAGCCAAAUAAUCCAUAUUGUACUUUAGUUGCAAACUGAGGAUUUAAACAAACAGGAGUAAUACAACCCUAAAUGUAUCCUGAUAAAAAUAAAAAUUUACCACUAGCAAAAAACAAAAUGUAACAAAACAAAUGAAAUUUGUUUCAGAUUACAGACACAUUUUAUGAGUUUUUAUUAGUUUUUCAAAAAAAUAAAUUGGAAGUGUAAAAUAAUCAGUGAGGGUUGAUCGUUUAUUGAUAAUAGUUCAAGAAAACCUAACCGUGGAUAAAAUCAAAAAUAACCAGAUGAUCAAAUAACACUAACGUUAACAGAAUAGUUGUGUAAACUCAAAAUGUAUAAAAAAAGAAAAAAAAUAUAUAUAAGUAGGGUUGAGAUUUUGCAGAAUGAAGUCUUAAAAUAAAAAUAAAAAACUCACAGCAGUAGAAGGGGUAUCCAUGUAUAAAAUCUGAUCAACAUCCAUAUCUCCACUAGAACCCAAACCUGGAACUUCUACAGACUCGAUCAUUCUUGAAAGUUCAUCGUCAGCCAACAACUCGUCAAUGAAGCCAUCACCAAUACUACCAACAUCCAUAUUU